UCCUUUUAUAAUACUCUUUUUAUUUGAUUAAAGAAUUUGUAUCCUUUGUAUACACUGGAAUGUGCUCUAUUCCCUAGGCCAUUAUUGUACAGGGUUACAAAAACUGGGGUUCUGGUUUUUAAAUAUUACCCUCCAACAAAUUUAAUAAAAAUGCUCCUUUGAUGUUUGAACUAAACUCGACUCCAUUUUAAAAUCAUACAGACAAGCGACUCCUGAACACAACUGAAUUAAUAAGAUUCAUCGUCUACUUCACUACGGAACAGGGUUUGCUUUCCCUCCCCCAGAACACAUCACCCUCCCAGGGAAAGAAUCAGUUUAUUUCCUCGCUGGCGCUGUUAACAGAGGAGAGACCGCUAACUUCUUUGGCAGAGGACCCUACGGGAACCAACACGCUUUCACCAAGCGUGCUCUGGAGCACAGUGCAUGGUUUUAGGGCUUCUGAGGACAGGACGCCACUUGGAUUUCACCUGCACGUUCAGCCCAGCAGCCCUUCCCACACAGCAGCUGGGGAGCUCCCCUGCAGACCGCAUGCUGUGUUGGUGACUGCCCCAAAGCAAGCGGGUGGGAUGGAUGUGGGGGGAGCACAGCUCUGGGGGACAAAGUGAUGCUAUGCAGGCAGAGGAGCAACAGCUUUCUUGGUGCUGCUCGUGCUCAGAUCAACCCAGCAGACCUUCAGGAAACUACCACUUCCCUCCUCCCCUCCCAAGCACCAAGAAACAACAUGAGUUUGUGACAGGUCCUAACCCCACUCCUACCGUGCGCAGGUGAAGCAAAGCAGGCUCCACGGCUGUGUGCACACCUGCACCCUGCCAGGUAAAGCAAUUCAGCUUACCAAGACACCACAUAGCCUGAGCCAGGACGUGAACCUUGGCCAGGGAGUUACUGCAACACAGCAAACCUUCGGACAGCCACCUCUGGGUGUUGUUCUCCCUGCAGGGCAGACUGGAGUGUUCAGAGCCGCAGCCUGUGCCACCUACAAGCCCACUCUGACCCAGCCAACACCAGGAGAGGCCCAAAGGACUCCUACAGAUCUGGGGCUGAAGUCCACUGCUGUACAGCAGGGCUGGAGCGACAGCAAGGAACACUGCAAUCGGAUCUGAGCUGCGAGUCCACUUCUUCCAGAUGGAAAAGUCCAGAGAAGCACUGCAUCACUGAGUGCAUUAUCUUAAUGCCUGUUUUCAUCACCAGAAGCAAGAGUUGAAGGCUGAGGAGAAAUUAAGAUGGCAGCACCAACAAUGGAACAGUGUUUGAUAAUUAAAAAUGGGCGAGUGUGAUGUCUAAGUAGGCUCUGGGACUGAGCUCCAGUCAUCUUCAUGGGAGAUGGGGAAGUGUCAAAGCCAGGUUCUCUGCAGAGAUCUUGUUCUCCUGCUAGCCAGUAAUAAUCUGCCAAAGAAAUUCGUAGCCUUUCCCCCCCAUGAACAUGUCAAUUCUCUGCCAAAAAUGUCUGUGACCCAGGACACUGCAGAUGGCACACAGAGCCAUGUGUCUCAGCAGAGAGAGGGCUGUGGCGUUCCAAACAUUCAGAAUAAACUUCGGCCUCUUUUUUUUUUUUUUUUAAUUUAAAAAUUUCCUUUGCAAUUCCCCACAGCUGGCAUUACAGGAUUUCAUACUUGUCCACCAGGAAGGUGGUUUCAGUAGAAAACCUUACAGGGCUGUUUCCAUCCACCUGGGUCACUUUGGUAACCUGUAUGUUGCAAUAGUUCUUUUUGGAGAUGAAGGAGACUUGUACUGGAAAGAAGUCAUUUGGCUGCCCUGCUAUGCUGAACUCCAGGCUGCCACUCUUGUUUUUGGCAUCUAUCACUGGCAGGCACCACUCAAGGAGAUUUCUCCGGCUGUCAUGGCGAUACUCGCCAUCGAUCUCCCCAAUCACCGGCGCACCAACACCAGACGGUAAAGGGAUCAUGAUGACCACGUCGUUCAGUUCUAGGCUCUCCUCCUGCAACUCGUAUUCAAUGUUAACAUCGCAACUGUUCCCACUUUCUGAUGGCCAGCAGUUAAUUGUCAAUGGAAUGAAGGACUCUUCCGUCGUCUGCAACCUCCACUUCAGCACACCCACGUCACUGUUAAUAGGGAAUGAUUUCUCUGGGUUCUUCAAACCAAUCUGUGAUUCUGCAGUAAACAGCUUCUUGUCCACAUUUGGGUGAGUCUGUAAUUGCACUCCCCUCUUGUCUUCAUUUUCUACAUGCAGGCGAAUUCGUGCAAAUUUUUCAUCAGAGAUGUGCAGCAUGAUCAUGCCAUGCAGCUCCAUAUUCUGUAAGCCUCCAUCACGGCCACAAGUCAAGGAAAUUUUCUCCUCUAUUUUCAUAUGCACACUCUCCAUAUUAAUGGGCGGUGCAAGAACUUUGGCUGCUUCUGUAGAGCGUUUGCCUACAGAAGUCAUGAUGUUUUCUCCCUCUGAUUUCAGCUUGUCCACAAAGUUGUCCACCUCCUUCCCUUUGGCGCCAAGUUUCAAAGCUUUACUAGGACCUGAUGGUCUGGACGGCGCUGGUGCCACUUUGGGCUUCUCUGUUUCAAUGAUGGUCUCUGUGAUCAUUGCUGCUGUUGUGCCCCCAGACACAGCCGAGCUGCCAAAGCCACCAAAGCCAGGUGCCUUCUUGCCCAGUCUCUCUGCAUCCCUCCUGGCCUGCUGCAACUCCUUCGCUUUACGACGCAUCUCAGCUUUUGCUUCACGUUCCUGAGUCUCUCGGACAGCUCGGAACACCUUUUCUUCAUGCGAGUCCAUCUCUGUGAAGGUCCGAAUUUGUGCCAAGUUUACAUUCUCACGGUAGCCCAGGGCAACAAUUUCAUCAAAGGCAAAAAUCAGGUCAAAGCAGUGCUCAGAGAUCUCAUUCUCCUCCAGAGCUCGACAAUAUUCAGGGAUCACUCUAGAGAAGAGUCGGAGUGUUUCCAGGUCUUCCAGGAUGUUGCUGUUUUUCGUGGUGAUGAGCACCAUGUAGAGCUUCUCCAUCGGCUGAUACACGUACCGCACACUCUCUGUUUCCACAAAAGUGUGCUGCUUCCCAGUGUUCAUGAGUUUUGGGAAAGCUGCCAGCAGCCCCUCGAUGCGGGUUCGGGUCAUCUCCACGAACUGUCGGGAGACGAUGGCCUUCCCUGCCUUUGUGCAGACAGCUGCCGCCAACAGCACCAUGGCGGCGGCGCUCGGCUCGGCGCUCGCUCCCUCGGCGCUCCGCGUCCCCUCGGGCAGCCCCACAAGAUGGCGGCGCCG
rnacentral:lncRNA from 1 species